rnacentral:rRNA from 1 species
AGAGUUUGAUCCUGGCUCAGAACGAACGCUGGCGGCGCGUCUUAAGCAUGCAAGUCGAACGGCAAGAGAGAAGCUUGCUUCUCUCCUAGAGUGGCGGACUGGUGAGGAACACGUGGGUAAUCUACCCUUAAGAUGGGGAUAGCUGCUAGAAAUAGCAGGUAAUACCGAAUAGUCUCAAUGGUUCAUAAGAAGUAUUGAGGAAAGGAAGCUACGGCUUCGCUUGAGGAUGAGCUUGCGUCCCAUUAGCUAGUUGGUGAGGUAACGGCCCACCAAGGCGACGAUGGGUAUCCGGCCUGAGAGGGUGAACGGACACAUUGGGACUGAGAUACGGCCCAAACUCCUACGGGAGGCAGCAGCUAAGAAUAUUCCGCAAUGGACGGAAGUCUGACGGAGCGACGCCGCGUGGAUGAAGAAGGCUGAAAAGUUGUAAAAUCCUUUUGUUGAUGAAGAAUAAGGGGAAGAGGGAAUGCUUCUCUGAUGACGGUAGUCGGCGAAUAAGCCCCGGCUAAUUACGUGCCAGCAGCCGCGGUAACACGUAAGGGGCGAGCGUUGUUCGGAAUUAUUGGGCGUAAAGGGCAUGUAGGCGGUUAUGUAAGCCUGAUGUGAAAUCCUGGGGCUUAACCCCAGAAUAGCAUUGGGUACUGUGUAACUUGAAUUACGGAAGGGAAACUGGAAUUCCAAGUGUAGGGGUGGAAUCUGUAGAUAUUUGGAAGAACACCGGUGGCGAAGGCGGGUUUCUGGCCGAUAAUUGACGCUGAGAUGCGAAAGUGUGGGGAUCGAACAGGAUUAGAUACCCUGGUAGUCCACACCGUAAACGAUGUACACUAGGUGUUGGGGCAAGAGCUUCAGUGCCAAAGCAAACGCGAUAAGUGUACCGCCUGGGGAGUAUGCCCGCAAGGGUGAAACUCA